AGCAAUUAUACCGUGAAACUGCGAAUGGCUCAUUAAAUCAGUUAUCGUUUAUUUGAUAGUACCUUACUACUUGGAUAACCGUGGUAAUUCUAGAGCUAAUACAUGCUAAAAACCCCAACUCCGGGAGGGGUGUAUUUAUUAGAUAAAAAACCAAUGCCCUCCGGGGCUCUUUGGUGAUUCAUAGUAACUUAACGGAUCGCAUGGCCUUGCGCCGGCGACGGUUCAUUCAAAUUUCUGCCCUAUCAACUUUCGAUGGUAAGGUAUUGGCUUACCAUGGUUUCAACGGGUAACGGGGAAUUAGGGUUCGAUUCCGGAGAGGGAGCCUGAGAAACGGCUACCACAUCCAAGGAAGGCAGCAGGCGCGCAAAUUACCCAAUCCCGACACGGGGAGGUAGUGACAAUAAAUACUGAUACAGGGCUCUUUUGGGUCUUGUAAUCGGAAUGAGUACAAUUUAAACCCCUUAACGAGGAACAAUUGGAGGGCAAGUCUGGUGCCAGCAGCCGCGGUAAUUCCAGCUCCAAUAGCGUAUAUUAAAGUUGUUGCAGUUAAAAAGCUCGUAGUUGAACCUUGGGCCUGGCUGGCUGGUCCGCCUCACCGCGUGUACUGGUCCGGCCGGGCCUUUCCUUCUGGAGAACCCCAUGCCCUUCACUGGGUGUGCGGGGGAACCAGGACUUUUACUGUGAAAAAAUUAGAGUGUUCAAAGCAGGCCUUUGCUCGAAUACGUUAGCAUGGAAUAAUAGAAUAGGACGUGCGGUUCUAUUUUGUUGGUUUCUAGGACCGCCGUAAUGAUUAAUAGGGAUAGUCGGGGGCAUCAGUAUUCAAUUGUCAGAGGUGAAAUUCUUGGAUUUAUUGAAGACUAACUACUGCGAAAGCAUUUGCCAAGGAUGUUUUCAUUAAUCAGUGAACGAAAGUUAGGGGAUCGAAGACGAUCAGAUACCGUCGUAGUCUUAACCGUAAACUAUGCCGACUAGGGAUCGGGCGAUGUUUCUAUCUUGACUCGCUCGGCACCUUACGAGAAAUCAAAGUUUUUGGGU
rnacentral:rRNA from 1 species